UUACAUCGAGAAAAGAACAACAAAAUGAGAAAUCGUUACCCAAGUAGAUUAAUUUCAUAAAUUAAUGAAUAGUGAAAAGAAAAUAUUUAUAAAUUCAUGUCUAUUUAAGCUCUAUUAGAACAUAUAUUCUAGCAUCAUAAAAAAUGUUGGAAAUCGGUUUAAAAAAAAGCUUCCAUUUUUGUCGAAAUCCCCAAAUUCGACACUAUAAAGGUUUUACCACAUGAACAUCCAUGUUUAUCAUCCCAUGUAGAGAAUGUUCUACGUUGUUCCUCGGGACAGGAGAAGAAUGUGGCACAGAUCGGAGGAUCCCUCUUUGAGUUGCUUGGAUAAAAGCAAGAGGAAGGAGCGAGUUCACACAUGAAAAUUCUGGGAAACAAGUGGCAGUAUCUGUGUAAGGUCUUUGGCCCAAAAAAGGCAUGAAGGAGAAUCAUACUUGGAAGAAUUUUUUCUUUUUUUUUUCUUUUAGAAAUCAAUGGGAGAGUGGAGCAAUUUCUCCAGUCGGACUUUGAAGAGCAGGGUUUCAGUUGUGAGAUGCAGAAAGUGUAUUCAAGAAAGCCAAUUCUCUACUAGCAACAAUACAACCAUUAGAGGCAUCCUUCCGUAUGUUUUCUCGAUUCUUUCUCUCUUAAUUUUGAUCCUUUGUAAACAAUGGCCUUGUAAAUUGCAAUAUCAUUAUGCUUAUGUAUUUGCAAUAUAUGUAUGCUUUGUGUGGAUGGAUUGUAUGAAUGAGAUUUGUGUAAGGACCAUGAGUUGAAGACUUUCUUUUGUGAGAUAUUUAGUUUAUGAACUUAGAUCUAAUGGUGUAUCAGCUAUUUGUGAGCUUGCAAGUGGAAAAAGGGGGAAAACAGAUUGAAUGCAAAAAAUGGCAAAAUGCAUGUGAUAUCGGAAUUUCAAUACCACAUAGUUUGUAUCGAUUAUGGUCUCGGAUAUUGUGAGAAAUGAAAAAUGUUUGUGAUAUCGUAUUUGGUAUCAGACUUGUCUGGUAUCAGAUUCGGUAUUAGAAGCUAGUUUUGGUUAUUACUUUGUGAUUGAGAUAUUAGAAGUCCUUUCUUUUUCUUGAGUGUAUCGGCUUUGGUAUCAGAUUUGGCAUUAGGAAUAGUAUCAGAACAGCUUUGUGCCAGGUAUCAGAAUUGCUUUUUUUUUUUUUUUUUUUUUUGUGUUUGGUAUUGGUUUUAGUAUCAAUAGUAUCGAACUUGUUUGGUAUCGAAUUUGGUAUCAGGACUGAUUUCAAAAUUGCUUUGUGCCUAGUAUGAGAAUUCCCUUUCUUUUGUGUUUGUCAUCAAUUUUGGUAUCAGACUCUUUCGGUUUCAAAUUUUGUAUCAAAAUAGAUAUCAAAAUUGCUUUGUGUCUGGUAUCAAAACUCCUUUCUUUUCUUUGUGUAGUAUCCAAUAUUAUAUUGGAAUACCGAUACCACAACCUGUGCUAUUGUUUUCAAGUUGUUCUGUGCUUCCUUGGAUUUGCUACUUGCAUGUUUUUUCAUUGGUUUAAAGUUGCUAGAAUUCAUUCUUGAUUUCAUCUUGGGAUUAUUUGCAUUAAGAAAUCUCUUGGUCAAUAAAUGAUUGUCUUCAAAAAUGGAUCUUGGGUCUUAUUCAUACAAUUCUCUCAUACACAUGUUCCUCUCAUUCUCUUUUUAUUAAUUUGCAAUCCACCAUGCCAUGUCGUUGGGGUUUCAUUGAUGCAUUGUAUUUCUUUUUGUUGGCAUUAUGUCUAUCGAUUAAUUAAUGAAAUGUCGAAGUUUCCUAUUUUGAGUUUAGUGGGGUGCUUAACACCUUCCCAUUGGAUAACUUAACCUCUGAACUCAUCCCUAAUUUGUUGAUUUUAUCUUUCUAUUUUGACAGUCACUUUAGAGUUUUUUUUUUAAUUUUUUUUCCCUUUUAAAGAAAAUAAAACAAGUGGCAACUCCAAACAGCAAUAAAAAUAGAUUUCAAAAUAAGCAUUUUCAAAUAAAAGGUUUGCCAUCACAUGGAAGCACCUAAAAAUACGGGUCAGAAUGUUAAAACUAUAACAAGACAAAACAAAAGAUAACUCUCUUUUUGGAGUUACUGUCACUGUGUCUUCAACAUAUAAAAUAAAAAAGAAAAAAGAAAAGUUCUUGUAUGAAGUCAUUCCUUAUCCACAUUCCUUAAAGUGCUCUCUUUAUAUCUUUUGUGUGCUUUAUCAACAAGAAUACAAAAUUUAAUUAGCAUACAUAAUAUUUUCAUUAAUCAUGUUUCUCACUUCGUUUGUAGCAGUGUUCAAUAUUCCUUUUUAAAUCUUUAAGGAGGCAUACUUGUCAUUUUUUUUUGGCAUUUUCUAAAACGAGAUUAGUUACUUUAUCAUCAUAUCUUGCCAAAAUCUUUAUCAUUUAAAUGAAAUUAUCCAAAUUUCUUAUUAUUGACAUUCAUCCCGACCUCUAAAAGCACAUGAUCAAAUUUUAACCGAUUAAAUAGAAUCAAUAGAGGUCUUAAGAUGUAAGCAAUUAUUCAAAAUCUAUUUGGAUAUUGAGGCAUUCAUCAUCUUGUUAAUAUGUCAGGAAUCAAUUCAUUUGAUCAUCACAACAUCAUACCUUGAUAUUAUGGGGUCAACGUGAAUUAGAAAAGCACAUUUCUUUCCAUUGUUUACUUUCUUCCUUAUAUCCAGAAGCAAGUGAACAAAAAUAAUGAAAAUGAAAAUGAGCAAGAAAGUAGACAUAGAAGAACACAAGAUUUAAUGUGGUUCUGCAAUAUGUCUACAUUCGCAGGGAGGAAAGAAAUUAAUUCACUAUACACAAAAGAGUAAUUACAAUCCUAAAACUCUUAAGUCCCAAGUCCCAAUUACAUCCAAUAUGACUCACCAUUUUAGUCAAAAUCUCUUCUUAUACACACCCAAAUGGAUUUUAAGAAUUCCUUUUUAAAUGGUGAUCUCAAAGAAGGCCCACAUGUAAUCUUCUCUUAGGCUACAACAUCCGUUGAGUCAAGUAUGUAGACUAUGUUUGUGCCUUGUAUGGCCUUAAGUAGGCACCUCAUGCUUUGAGAAGUUUAGUUUAGCAGUUCCUGGAUUUGGAUUUAUGCAAAGUCUAUAUGAUUCAGCUGUGUAUGUUUUUUUGAAACUCUAGUCAAGGCAUUGUGUUGUUACUUCUUUAUGUUGACAAUAUGGUGGUUAUAGGAAAUGAUACAGAUAGGAUUCAAGAUAUUGUAUUUGUAUCCCUACAUUACUUUCUUGGCAUUAAGGUAGACACAUCUCCCAGGGAGCAUAUUUUGUCUCAUAUCAAUAUGCAUAAGAUCUCAUUUGUCUAUUGUAUUGGCAAACAAUAAAGUUGUUGAUAUCCCAUUUGAGUUGAGUUCUAAGCUUUGUGCCGAUAAAACACAUUUUCCAAAUCCCACUUGUUAUAGGCAACCUUUUUUUUUUCUUUUUUUGAUAGAUAAUCACAUAAAAAAAGGCGCCUAAAGGGCAACCCAAAGCAUACAAGGAGUAUACAAGAGGCGCCUAAAGGCAAGAACAAAAAGAAGAGGGAAUACAAAAAACUCACCAGCCCUCAUUUAGAAUCCAACCAAUCAAAAAAGUUGAUUAAAGGUAAAGGUCCUACAUCUAUACAAGACUUAGAUCAAAACCAAAGAUUACAUACAAAUGAAUAUUUCAUCCUGUGAAUCGAGAGAUCCUCAUUUUCAAAAGCUAUCAUGUUUCUUUCCUUCCAAACCGACCAAAAUAAACAAAGAGGAACUGUCAUCCAAGCCUUUCUAUGUUUCUUGCUCACAAAGGAUCCAUGCCAACCUAAGAAUGUAUCUCUAGUCGAAAGCAGAAGGACCCACAUCACACCAAACAGUGCAAAAACAAGCUCCCACAAAACCCUAGCCUUGGAACAAUGGAUAAGAAUAUGAUUAAUUGACUUCUCUUCAGCAUAACAAAUGAAACAUAUGUUAGUUAUGGGCCACCCCCCUCCUUUUGAGUUGAUCCAAGGUCAGAACCUUCCCCCACGAUGCUUCCCAAGCAAAGAAACCCACCAUAGUGGGAACACAAGGGCUUCAAAUGAUGUUUCACGGAAACAGGACUGCACUUCUUGGUUCAAGAGUACUAUAAAGGGAUUUAACAGAAAAAUUCCCCUAUCCUCCAAGUCAAUGACUAGCCUCUUUCCUUGUAAAGUCAAAAGGAACCUCUCUACCACCUCCACCUCCCAAUCAUUGAAAGAUCUAGAGAACCGGGGAUUCUAUUCCCUCUCUUCCCCCAAAGAAUCCUAAUAGUCCGCUACCCACACAUCUUUUGAAUCCGCUAAAACGUACAAAGAAGGAAAAUAAUCACAAAGGGUAUUGUUCCGGCACCAUUUGUCCUUUCAAAAUCUCACUCUUCUACCGUCCCCCAUAGAAAAUACAAUAUUUUUAAACAUUAGGGAGCUUUCCUUCCAUAACCCCACCUCAUAGCCCUCCCUUACUUCACGGGUACACCAACCACCUUCUUGCACCCCAAACUUCCUACUAAUGACAAGCCUCCACAAAGACUCCCUUUCAACCGCAAAGCGCCAACUCCACUUGAACAAAAGGGCCCUAUUGAGAAUAGAAAGACUUUUAACACCCAAACCACUCUUCUUUUUAUUUGAACAAAUAAUUGCUCACUUUACAAGAUGAAGCUUCUUCUCCAAAGCUUCCCCAUCCCAAAGAAAGUUCCUUUGGAUUUGCUCUAGUCUCAAUCUAGCAACUCUUGGCAUAUGCAUCAAAGACAUGAGCUAAAUGGGCAUAGCUUUGUGCGGUGCACCCAAGAGGAGCCCCAAGUAAGUGGAAGGAAGUGCUCCCACUUUGCAGCCAAGUUCUAGGGCCAACAACUCUACAUUCUCCACACUCCCCAUCGGCAAAAUUUCACUCUUAUCCAAAUUGAUUCUCAGCCUUAAAAUGGCUUCAAACCACAUUAACAACCAACUUAAAAAAAUCAUAUGCUCCUGGGAGGCGUCACAGAAAACCAGCGUAUCAUUAGCGAAUAGCAGGUGAGUAAUUUGAACCCCAUCUCCACCUCUUCCCCUUAUUCUACAACCUAUUAAGAAUUCCCUCCCUCCCUCCCUUUGCUGCUCUAUUUAUGAGACAGCUUAAGGCCUCCAUCCCGAUCACAAAUAAAUAAGGUGAUAGAGGGUCCCCUUCCUCAGCCCGUUAGUGCUAUGGAAAAAACCCAUUGAUGAGUCAUUAAUCAAAAUGGAAUACGUUGCAGUGGAUAUACACCAACUAAUCCAGCCUGCCCAUUUCUCCCCAAAACCCAUUUUUUGCAUCACUAGCAACAAAAAAUUCCAAUUAAUAUGGUCAUAUGCCUUCUCUUUAUCCAUCUUACACAACACUCCACUUUCAUUCCUUUUCAGCAUAGAAUCUAUGGCCUCGUUAGCAAUUAAAGCAGUAUCAAGAAUUUGUCUUCCCUCAACAAAAGCAUUUUGGCACGAAGACACCACCUUUCCUUCCCACCACCUUCUUUAGUCUAUUAGCUAAAACCUUUGCUAGCAGCUUGUACAAUCCUCCCACCAAACUGAUGAGUCUAAAGUCUCUCAGAUCAUCUGCCCCUCCUUUUUUUGGAACUAAAACCAAGAUCGUGGUAUUCAAGCUCCUAACAAAUCUUCUCUUCUUAUGGAAUUCUUUGAAGAAACCCAUUACCUCAUCUUUUACGAAGCCCCAACAGAACUGCCAGAAAGCAAGAGGGAACCCAUCCAGACCUGAUGAACAACAGUCUAGAAUUAUUACACUAAACAUAUCAAAAUAUAGGCUGCAAAAAGAACCAUAUGAACCCUGGUAUACUUAUUUUUAUAGUGUAUGUCCUGAACUCUCUUGAACAUAUUCAGCAUUGGUGUGUCAAAUACCAGAGUGAUGAAUAAUUAACAACUACUAACCACAAUCUUUCUCAUAGCAAGAAAGAGAACGAAAGUUAUAAUGAGGUUUGAUUUGCUCUCAUGAAUAUUAUUGCAUUAGGCUCUGGGUAUGAUUUUGACUGGUAGUCCUUCAGUUGGUUCUGGUGUUGGAUUCCUGCUGAAAAAAUUGUUGGUGUGAUGUAACUUCCACUUGAAACGAGUAACCAAAUGAUGGAUGGCAACAAGGGUUUCUAUUCUUGCAAACUCAAUUCCUGGACAUAUCUGAGGGCCCCCUCCAAAUGGAAUGAAGCAGUAGGGGUGGGAUUGAUGCUUGGUUUUCAAAUUGUGUUGGAUCAAACUUUGUUGGUUCCGGGAAUAUGGUAUUGUCCAUGUGGGUCGUGCUUGUAGCCCAGAAUAUCUGCAUAUCAAAGAAAAGGGCAUCAGCCUUGCUUAAAUAGCGGGCAGAGUCCAAGCUAAAAUACUGUUACCAAGUUUACUUACCUUCCACCCUUUAGGGAUAAGGUAUCCACCAAAUUCAAUGUCUUUCAAUGCAGUUCUGAAGCCAGCAAAGAUGGGAGGAACCGUCCUCAGGGAGGAACCGUCCUCAGGGUUUCCAAUGCUACUCUCCAUGUGUAUUUCAUCUUUGCCAGGUCUUCCCAGGUUAGAAACUCGCCUGGGAGUUUGCCUGUUGCUAUCUCCUCAUGUUCUGAAAUCCAGUUACAAAAGGCAUCCCACUAUCAGUCCCUUUUGUUCAAUUAUAUUAUAUAUAUGGAACUAUAUAUACCAUUUUACCGCAGGACAGUUUGUUCCAAAGGAAAAUAGAUUCUUGAACAGGAUGGAUAUAUGUACUUAUAGAAAGUUUUAUUAACUUUGACCUCAUUAUGUUCUAUUAUUGUAAUCAAGUUUCCAUGCUUAUAACUUUUCAUACCUUGAAGAACAGCUGCAUACACAUCGAGAUCAUUAGCCAGAACCCGCACCAGGAAGUGCAGUCAUAAUAAGCAAAACAUUGUGUAUGAUCUCUUUAUCAGAUAUUACAGCCUCGUUGGUUUCACCACGAAUGCUGAGCAAGCAAGUGAUGAGAUCUUGAUGAGGCCAAGCACCUUUCUCAAGCUCCUCCCUCUCACAUAUAAGCUCCUUUAUCAUUGGACCUUUGCACUUGCUCGGAGACUGCGGUUGUAGCUUGUGAAAGGCAAGUUAAGUGGGACAACAUCCUGGAAUCUGGCCACGAGUUUCUCUUAGGAUUUCUUGCUCUUAUCCCAAAUAGAAGACAACAAAUGAUGUUGAAUGUGAGGGUCACAUCAGGGGCAACACCUAUCAGCCAUACAGGUGAGGUUUCUGAAAAUUCCAUAGUAAUACUUAUGCAAAAGGACUACUGCUUACGAAUAUUCUUGCAAGGUUGAUGGGAGUGUUUGAUAAAUAGCAUGUACCGUGACGUUUUGCUUGCCUUGCCAAUGCAUCUCAAGAUGCUUCCUGACCUCCGCAUCCAUCUUUCCCACAUACUGCUUCAAGGAUUCUGGUUUUAGGAAUGAUGAAAGAGCAUCCCUGACACACUUAUGAUCUUCUCCGCUCAGCUCCAGCAAGUUUCGGUCACCCAGUAUCAUCUGAUUGGACCUUGCUUGCUGGUUCGAAAGUGCUAAGCGUCAACUAUGGAGGGCCCAUAAGGCUCAAUCCCAACAUACCAAAGUUUCCUAAUAACUAAGAUGCAUUUGGAAAUCAAGUCUAAGAUUUAAAUCCAGCAUACAAACAAUGGAAUGGAGAGGAUCAGUUGUUGUUAAGUUAGUUGCUCUCGUCUUUGUCGAUGACAACAAUUCUUAGCCAAGUGGUUUGAUGCAAUACUUCACACUAGCUUUGGACUGAUUUAGAGCAUCCAUAUUCAUCACGAUCUAAGGCAAAAUUGUUGUAAAUGAAGAUAUAACUACAAGCUUUUAUGAAUGAUUAUUUUGUGAAAAUGGAAAAUAUAUUAGAUCAAUGUGUUGUUGGUUACUUUGUAAGCAAGGAAGGUUUGGUGAUUUAUAUGCUUGUUGGACUUGGAUUUGCGUAUGAUCCAAUCGUUUAUAACAUUAUGACUUGUGGAACGAUGGAUUAACUUUCUCUCAAGGAGGUUUAAGUGCUUCUACUGAAUCGAGAAUGUACACUUGAGCAACUAAUGAUGCAGUGGAGAGCUUCAAAAUCCUUCUACGAAUUUUGUCAACAAGAAUGGCAGCAGCGAUGGUCGUGACAAAGGCAACUUUGAUCCAUGAGGAGAUCACAAUAACUUCUGCUUUCUUCGUCCUGGACCUAGUGUUGGAAAUAACAGGCCUGUUUUCUAGAUUUGUGACAAACAAGGUCAUAUAAUCUUUAACUAUUGGCAUUAUGAUCUAGAUGAGAACCUUUUGACUUUACUUUUGCAAACUCUAAAUGUCUAUAACACCAAGGCUCAACCUACUACUUUGAUGACUAUACCGGAGACUAUUCUUGAUCCUAGUUGGUAUAUUGAUAAUGGUGCAACAAACCACGUGGUUACCACCUUGGAUAAUAGUACAAUGAAAACAUAAUGUGGAGGCUAAGAUAAAUUUAUAGUUGGAAAUGGUAAGUAACACAUUUCUCCUCCCCUCUUUGUCUUGAAAAUGUCUACAUGUUCCCCAAAUUAUCAAAAAGUCUAGUUAAGAUUUUCCAACUUAAAGAAGAUAACAAAGCUUUUGUGGAAUUUCAUGCUAAUUAUUUUCUUGUGAAGGACAAAAUUAUGAGAACCAUUCUACUUCAAGGGAAGUUUAAAGAUUGUCUUUACUUGAUGGAUAAUCCGCGACCCAAGGUUAAUUCUUAGUCUAAACUCAUCAAACCAUUGUUAAAUUUUGUUGCUAGUUGCAAUUUAUUUUGUUUCCCACUUAUGUUAAGAAUGAUUGUAUUUAAUUCAGUUUGUCUUUAUGUUUCUACAUCUUUAAAUUUCAUUGCAUGGCAUCAAAGGCUUGACCACCCUUCUGUUAAGGUUCUUAGUCAAGUCUUAAAGUUGUGUAAUUCUUUACUAAAUAAGAGUCUUGAAUUUUGCAAUGCUUCUUAAUAUGGGCAAAGCCAUGUACUUCCCUUCUCUGUUGUUGAGACCAAAACCGCUUUACCUUUAGAAAUCAUGUGCUCUAGCAUUUGGGGGGCAACACCAAUUCCUAGAACUCCUGGUAAUAGAUAUUAUAUUCAUUUUGUUGAUGACUAUACCAAUUUCACAUGGAUUUGUCUUCUCAAACAAAGAUCUGAAGUCAUUGUUACUUUUAAACAGUUCAAAAUUGUUAUUGAAAAAUCAUUGAACAAGUCCAUACAAUGUGUUCAAAUUGAUUAGGGUAUUAGGAAGGUUUAAUCACAUUAUGUACCACCUAUUCACUUGAUAAAUUGUUGAAUGAAUAUUCUCAUAUAUCACAAGGGUAUUUAUACAAAGUAUACAAGGUUACUUUAGGAUAACCAACUAUACAAAAGAAAUAAUAACUCACAAUCGGUUGUACAUAGUUGUACAUCAUAGCUAUAUGUACAAUUGUACAUACACACAGAUGUACAUAGUUAUAAGGACAACUAUGGACCUCUUGUACACAAAUGACUUAUUCAUCUCUAUCUUUAGAAGAGGUGAGGAUUGGCAUGAGAUGGGCCUUAUGCCAUUACAAAGGGGCGUUCGAGAGCAUUCCCUAAUUUGAUUAAAGAAGUUUUUGUCAAGUUCCCUCAUGGGUUUAUGUGUAAAAGAAAAUGCCAAGCCAAAAGGCAAAACUUCUAUUGCCUAAGUUCGUUUUAGAUGGAUUGCUUAGUUAUCUCUAGUUCUAGAUCAUAUAGGGUGCAUGCAUCUAAUCCUAGGCUCUCUAGAUUUAACAUGACAAACAAAAUCAUAUUAUGACAUGAAUCUAGAGAUAGAAAACCCAUACACGUGAUUUAAAUGUUCCCAUAACAAUUCCAAUCCACAGAAGAUGUCGAAGAUGUUGUAAAACUCGUUUAUCUAAUAAUCUUACAAUUGAUUUCUCCUUUCACAGGCCUUGACACAAGAAAAGGGUAAAUUUAUCUCUCUCUCUCUCUCUCUCUCUCUCUCUCUCUCAAGUGGCUAGAGUUUCUCUCUAGAAAAACUCUAUUUAAAAUACAAUAGGUAAAAGUCUGAAGCCCUAACCCUUAAAGAAGUGUUUAUAGGUUUUCCUGUAAACUUAAGUGACUUGAGCUUAAAUUAGACUUGGUUCACUUAAUCUAACCCACUUGGAUUUAGAGGGCUCCAAUUAAUUAAUUAGUUCAAUUCAAAAAGUCCAUUCAUAAGAUCUAGUACAACCUUGUUUUUUUACCAAAACACUUUUAUGCAUACUUAUAAACUAUAAACCCAAAAUCCUUUAAAUAAACUUGUCACCAUGAAAUAGGAACUUGAGUGAGGACCACUAGGACUCAUAGGAAAAUAUUUGCUCUCUCAUAAUUCAAUUAUGAAGUUGACUCAACACUCUACUAAAGAGAGUUGACUACACUUCAAUAUCCUAUGUAAUUAUAACGAGGCAAAGCACGGAUCUAAGACUUACUAUCCAUUUCAUGCAAAUUCCCCAUGAAUUAGUAUUCAUAAUCUAAUGAGUUAUUACUAUCAACCUUUUAAGGUUACCUUGCCAAUUCUUGAAUUACAAAUCCUCUUAUUAUGUAAUCAAUUGGCAUACUCUAACUUUCAAAGAACAUACAUCAAAUUCCACUAACCAAAUUAAUAUGACCAUAGUCAUCCUAAUCACAUGUCCUUAUGAUCACCCAAAGGGACACAUUAUGUCAAUCCUAUAAGAUAUUACGAUGCUUCUAUUGAGAAUAUUUAUUGUCACCAACCUCCAUUAAUAGUGAUCUAAUCUGUGGGGAAUAUGUGACCACCUUAAGAUCUCACCCAUAGAGCAAAGUCUUCUACUGAUUUUAGUAUAGACUCAAUAUCCUCUCAAUGUUGAGAAUCCAUGCAAUAUAAUAAAUAGGUAAAUUGUGACUAACCGAUAACCAAUAUGAUAAUUCACUAUAGGUCUUAUUUAAUGUAUAAUCACACACACUAAUGCACUUACCAUGGGAAAACCAUCAUGAUGUUAAGUACUUCCUGGAACCAAAUAUAACAUUAGAAUACUAAGGACUUGUACUAUAUAUGAACUCUAACUCAAUUCAGAUAGAGAUCAUAGUAGGUUGUUUGGUAUGGAAAACAUUGUGACCUUUUAUUUUUUUAAUAUGAUUUACAUGAUAAAAGAAGAAUGUUGAGCAGAUAGGAUGUAUUUUCCCCAAUCCUUUCUUUGUACUUGGAAAUAUUUGGGUUAAAUCUACUUCAGAUAUUAAGAUUUUUUUGGAGUUAUCAUUGUCAUAUGAAAAGAUUAACAGAGUUUGUAGUUAUCAUUAUAGUUUGAAGUUCGGAGAUGCUCUUUCACAUCUUAUAUUAGUGCUUUUUGUCUUGAUCUCUAGUAAAUGAGUGUAUAUAUUUGUGUGAAUUGCUAGUAUGAAGCUGCAGUUAUUGUACUAGACAUAUGAAUAGGCUGCAAACAAAACGAUGCGAACCCGCUAUUCUUAUUUUUAUAGCAUAUAUAUUCUGGACUCUGUUCAACUUAUUUUGCAUUGGUAUGUCCAAUGCCACGGUGAUGAGUAAUUAACAACAACUGACCACAAUCUUUUUCAUAGCAAAAGAGACAAUAAGAGUCAUACUCUGGUUUGAUUUGCUCUCAUCCAUAUUGCUUUAGGCUCUGGGUAUGAUUUCGAUUGGCAGUCCUUCAGUUGGUUCUGGCAUUGGAUUCCUGCUGAAAAAGUUGUCAUUGUGACAUAACUUCCACUUGAACCUGGUAACCAGAUGAUGGAUGGCAAC
rnacentral:lncRNA from 1 species